UGCGGGUUACAGGUGACAGGGGACCACUCGCGAGCUCUUGCCACCCUCCCUGCGGGAAAUGAGACCUCCCAUACCUCGGUUGGGCUUCGGGCGAAUGGAGGAGAUCUCGUCGGGCUGAUUUUCGGUGAAUUAUUCACAGAUCAAAGAUGGGAGUCAGAUGGGUGAUGGAUGAUAUUGGGGGCUUGAGGAAAAGACAUGGAAUGUUUCACCAGCUAACCAGACGGUUCUGCUCGGCUGGAGGAAUGGUUCCAUGCAGAAGCGCUGGUGCUCACUCCCAGUGAUUUAUCUUUGGCAAUACAGUGCAC